CCCUUAGAUGUCCGGGGCCGCACGCGUGCUACACUGAGUGGAUCAGCGGGUCAGGUUGCGCGAAAGCGUUUCCUAAUCUUUAAAUCCGCUCGUGAUGGGGAUUGACGGUUGCAAUUUUCUGUCAUGAACGAGGAAUUCCUAGUAAACGCGAGUCAUCAGCUCGCAUUGAUUACGUCCCUGCCCUUUGUACACACCGCCCGUCGCACCUACCGAUUGAAUGGUUCGGUGAAGAUCUCGGACUUCGAUAUUUAUUCUUUAUUGAGUUUAUAUUGUGGGAAGUUAUCUAAACCUCAUCAUUUAGAGGAAGGUGAAGUCGUAACA
rnacentral:rRNA from 1 species